GUGUCAGCAGCCGCGGUAAUACGUAGGAUGCGAGCGUUGUCCGGAAUUAUUGGGCGUAAAGAGAACGUAGGCGGUUUCCUAAGUUCGGUCUUAAAGACCGGGGCUCAACCCCGGGAAUGGACUGAAAACUGGGAGACUCGAGGACGUCAGAGGAAGGUGGAAUUCCCAGUGUAGCGGUGAAAUGCGUAGAUAUUGGGAGGAACACCAGUGGCGAAAGCGACCUUCUGGGACGUUCCUGACGCUGAGGUUCGAAAGCUCGGGGAGCAAACAGGAUUAGAUACCCUGGUAGUCCGAGCCGUAAACGAUGGAUACUAGGUGUCGGGGGUAUCGACCCCUCCGGUGCCGUAGCUAACGCGUUAAGUAUCCCGCCUGGGGAGUACGGUCGCAAGACUGAA
rnacentral:rRNA from 1 species